CACGGCCAUAUCACGUUGAAAUACCGGUUCUCCUGCAAUCACCGAAGUUAAGCAAUGUUGAGUUUGCUCAAUACCUAGAUGGGUGACCGCUUGAGAAUAC